CCUACGGGUGGCUGCAGUAGGGAAUUUUCGGCAAUGGGGGGAACCCUGACCGAGCAACGCCGCGUGAACGAAGAAGUUAUUCGUAAUGUAAAGUUCUUUUAACAGGGAAGAAAGAGAAAUUUGACGGUACCCGAAGAAAAAGCAUCGGCUAACUCCGUGCCAGCAGCCGCGGUAAUACGGAGGAUGCGAGCGUUAUCCGGAUUUAUUGGGUUUAAAGGGUGCGCAGGCGGAUUUUUAAGUCAGCGGUCAAAUCGUGGGGCUCAACCCCAUCCAGCCGUUGAAACUGGGGAUCUAGAGUGUGCGAGAGGUAUGCGGAAUGCGUGGUGUAGCGGUGAAAUGCAUAGAUAUCACGCAGAACCCCGAUUGCGAAGGCAGCAUACCGGUGCACAACUGACGCUCAGGCACGAAAGCGUGGGUAUCGAACAGGAUUAGAUACCCUGGUAGUC
rnacentral:rRNA from 1 species